GACGAACCGUCCUAACGUUGUUCGGAAUCACUGGGCUUAAAGGGCGCGUAGGCGGGUCAGCAAGUCCGGGGUGAAAUCUUUCGGCUUAACCGGAAAGUGCCUUGGAUACUGCUGGUCUAGAGGGAGGUAGGGGCAUGUGGAACUUCCGGUGGAGCGGUGAAAUGCGUUGAUAUCGGAAGGAACGCCGGUGGCGAAGCGACGUGCUGGAUCUCUCGACGCUGAGGCGCGAAGCCAGGGGAGCAAACGGG
rnacentral:rRNA from 1 species